rnacentral:rRNA from 1 species
UACGGAGGAUGCGAGCGUUAUCCGGAUCUAUUGGGUUUAAAGGGUGCGUAGGCGGCCUGCCAAGUCAGCGGUAAAAUUGCGGGGCUCAACCCCGUACAGCCGUUGAAACUGCCGGGCUCGAGUGGGCGAGAAGUAUGCGGAAUGCGUGGUGUAGCGGUGAAAUGCAUAGAUAUCACGCAGAACCCCGAUUGCGAAGGCAGCAUACCGGCGCCCUACUGACGCUGAGGCACGAAAGUGCGGGGAUCAAACAGG